GGUAGUAGCAAAUAUUCAAGUGGGAACUUUGAAGGUCGAAGUGGAGAAGGGUUCCAUGUGAACAGCAGUAGAACAUGGGUCAGUCGACCCUAUAUGCUCGCGUUGCCCGGGCGGACCAAAAGGGAAUCGGGUUAAUAUUCCCGAAUCAAAACAGAGCUUGGCACUCCGGCGCCUUAUAGUGCGGUAACGCAAGCGAAAUCGGAAACAUUGGUGUGAACCUGGAAAAAGUUCUCUUUUCUUUGAAAGGGUUGGCGACCCUGAAAUCGGUUUGCCUGGAGAUGGGGACAUGUGCCCCCCGUAGCACUUCUCUUGUGCUGUCCUGAGAGCCCGCGUCGGCUCGUGAAAAUCCGAGGGAGAUGGUGUAAUUUUCGUGCAAGGUCGUACCCAUAUCCGCAAUUUUCAAACGUAAUGAUGAAC
rnacentral:ncRNA from 1 species